GUGGGGAAUAUUGGACAAUGGGCGAAACCCUGAUCUAGCCAUGCCGCGUGAGCGAUGAAGGCCUUAGGGUUGUAAAGCUCUUUCAGAUGGGAAGAUAAUGACGGUACCAUCAGAAGAAGCCCCGGCUAACUCCGUGCCAGCAGCCGCGGUAAUACGGAGGGGGCUAGCGUUGUUCGGAAUUACUGGGCGUAAAGCGCACGUAGGCGGACCAGAAAGUCAGAGGUGAAAUCCCAGGGCUCAACCUUGGAACUGCCUUUGAAACUCCUGAUCUUGAGGUCGAGAGAGGUGAGUGGAAUUCCGAGUGUAGAGGUGAAAUUCGUAGAUAUUCGGAGGAACACCAGUGGCGAAGGCGGCUCACUGGCUCGAUACUGACGCUGAGGUGCGAAAGCGUGGGGAGCAAACAGGAUUAGAAACCCCAGUAGUCC
rnacentral:rRNA from 1 species